UUACUCUAUGGUAAUAAUUUCAGUAAAUACUUUGUUCUUUGUAGCGUGGUACAAUUGUUAAUGUUUUUGUAAUAUAAUUAAUAGUUCAGGACUGAAUUGUUGUUUUUAUUGUAAAGAAAUUAUAUUGUUACACUAUGGCGGACAAGUUUGAUAAUGGUAGUGAAGAUUUUAAAAGAAAUUCUAAUCCAGGGAACGAUCAUGAACAAGAUGGCGAGGAGGUUUCCAAAUUGAAUGAAAAAGCCGGUGAAUACAUGAGGGAUCUUUUAAGCGAGAAAAUAAAACUUCCGACUAAUAAGUUUCCAGUAUCGUGUCGACUUAUUGAUCAAGAAGUUGAAAGACUUCAAGCUUCUGGCAGAAUACCUCUUAGAGACAAUAAGUAUGUGGAUGUAUUCCGUGAAAAACCUGUCAAGGUUACAGUCAAAGUUCUGGUUCCUAUUAAGGAACAUCCAAAGUUUAAUUUUGUGGGAAAGCUGCUUGGACCAAAAGGAAACACAAUGAAACAGUUGCAAGAAGAGACAAUGUGUAAAAUGGCUAUACUUGGUCGGGGCUCUAUGCGGGAUAGGAACAAGGAAGAAGAACUUCGCAACUCCCUGGACCCCAAAUAUGCUCACCUCUCUGAUGAGUUGCAUGUUGAAGUAUCAGCAUUGGCUCCACCUGCGGAGGCACAUGCAAGAAUUGCGUAUGCACUUGCAGAAGUCAAAAAGUACUUGAUCGCAGAUGGUCCUGACAUGAUGCGUCCACCAAUGCGUGAAAUGAUGGACAGAGAUCCAGGCUCUCUAAGAGCCCCUCUACUUCAAUUGCCAGAGCACUCGCAGGGAGCUAAGGCAGUUGUAUACAGUGCACGCACCCUUACAAAUCGUUCAGUAUCUUAUCAAGGUCCCGUGACUCAAGGAGCGCCUCCACCCAUGUCUCGUCCGCCAGCGCCGCGAAUGCCGCCGGCGCGUUCCAUGGCUCCGGCCAAGACCAAGGUCUUUAGCAUUUUGGACCGAGCUCGCAACGCCAUGGAGAGCUCUUAUGGAUACGACGACUAUUCUAUGCAGGAACCCAGUCGUCCACCGCCGCCGAACCGACAGGCCCCGGACUCCGAUUUCUACUACGAGAGAGGCGGAGGUUCCGAUCAAUACUACGAAGAAGACAACAGCUACUAUAAGAGCGAAGAGCCGCGCGAGUACAAAGCGACGGCUCGCGACGUGGGCACUCGGAGGUCGGGUCCUCCCGCCACGAGGAACUACAAUAGGCCCGCGCCUUAUCAGCGACAGCAGAAGUAUGUGUAGACACACUUACUUAUUUUUAUUUUAUUAUGGGUGUCGUUGCCUUCCGGGGCUCCGAGUUCAGGACCCAUAAGAAACAUUCGCAAUAAAUUGCGAAAAAGUUCGGACAAAAACCACAAAAUUGAAGACAAAUCCACAAAACCCUCAUAUGUUUCAUAUGCUUCCCUUAAAUAAUAAAUGUCGAUAUAUUCUACUAUUACGCCUAUUGCAAACAUUUUCACUGAAUUAUGUAUUUAUAUUAAUUGUUUUUAAGACAAAUUUGGAAUGUUCAAAAAUUGUAUUUAUAAAUUUUAUUUAAAAAUUAGCUUCGAAAUUAAAGCGGUCAAACGUUUACCCAAAAAGGUUUUAUUUAUUAAUGAAAUCUUAAAAAAGUAUCUUCCACUCUUACAACUUUGUAUUUAAUAUCAGCUAAAAGUCUAUUUGAUCCACAAAAAAAUUUUUGACUUUGUGUAAAUCGGCUUUGGGUUAAAAAAUAUUUAUAAGCAGAUAAUUUUGCAAUAAUAUUUAAUCGUCGGUUUUGAAAUUGAGUAGAAAUUAUUACGGAACAAUUAAAUUUAACUUUAAUAUUUAAUCUUAAUAUAGAUAGAUAUACACUUUCAACAUGUUGUGAAUGUACUAACGCAGUCCUUGACUAGACAUGUUGGUCUUAGAUUUAAAAAUAAUUUGAUUCUUGUGUGAAACGUAGUAAUAAACUGUCUUAAAAAUAA